rnacentral:rRNA from 1 species
CAGUAGCCACGGGAACACGUAGGGUGCAAGCGUUAAUCGGAAUUACUGGGCGUAAAGCGUGCGCAGGCGGUUAUAUAAGACAGAUGUGAAAUCCCCGGGCUCAACCUGGGAACUGCAUUUGUGACUGUAUAGCUAGAGUACGGCAGAGGGGGAUGGAAUUCCGCGUGUAGCAGUGAAAUGCGUAGAUAUGCGGAGGAACACCGAUGGCGAAGGCAAUCCCCUGGGCCUGUACUGACGCUCAUGCACGAAAGCGUGGGGAGCAAACAGGAUUAGAUACCCGAGUAGUCCCUGUCUCUUAUAA